rnacentral:rRNA from 1 species
AACGAACGCUGGCGGCAUGCCUAACACAUGCAAGUCGAACGAGACCUUCGGGUCUAGCGGCGCACGGGUGCGUAACGCGUGGGAAUCUACCCUUGGGUUCGGAAUAACAGUUAGAAAUGACUGCUAAUACCGGAUGAUGACGUAAGUCCAAAGAUUUAUCGCCCAAGGAUGAGCCCGCGUAAGAUUAGCUUGUUGGUGGGGUAAUGGCCUACCAAGGCGACGAUCUUUAGCUGGUCUGAGAGGAUGAUCAGCCACACUGGGACUGAGACACGGCCCAGACUCCUACGGGAGGCAGCAGUGGGGAAUAUUGGACAAUGGGCGAAAGCCUGAUCCAGCAAUGCCGCGUGAGUGAUGAAGGCCUUAGGGUUGUAAAGCUCUUUUACCAGGGAUGAUAAUGACAGUACCUGGAGAAUAAGCUCCGGCUAACUCCGUGCCAGCCGCCGCAGUAA